rnacentral:rRNA from 1 species
CACGUCGGGGGCAAGCGUUGUCCGGAUUUAUUGGGCGUAAAGAGCUCGUAGGCGGUUCGGUAAGUCGGGUGUGAAACCUCCAGGCUCAACCUGGAGACGCCACCCGAUACUGCUGUGACUAGAGUCCGGUAGGGGAGCGUGGAAUUCCUGGUGUAGCGGUGAAAUGCGCAGAUAUCAGGAGGAACACCAGCGGCGAAGGCGGCGCUCUGGGCCGGAACUGACGCUGAGGAGCGAAAGCGUGGGGAGCAAACAGG